UACGUAGGGUGCGAGCGUUGCCCGGAUUUAUUGGGCGUAAAGAGCUCGUAGGCGGUCUGUCACGUCGGAUGUGAAAAUCCAGGGCUUAACCCUGGACCUGCAUUCGAUACGGGCAGACUAGAGUUCGGUAGGGGAGACUGGAAUUCCUGGUGUAGCGGUGAAAUGCGCAGAUAUCAGGAGGAACACCGGUGGCGAAGGCGGCGUUCUGGACUGCAACUGACACUGAGGAACGAAAGCCAGGGGAGCAAACGGG
rnacentral:rRNA from 1 species